rnacentral:tRNA from 10 species
GGAGGGCUCGCAUAGUGGCCUAGUGCACCGGUCUUGAAAACCGGCAAGGGAAACCUUCGUGGGUUCAAAUCCCACGCCCUCCGCCA